AUGCUUCUGUGCCAUGCAAUCAGAAAAGGUCCGCAACAUCCACUCGUAUGCCUGGCUUGUUUCAAGAGAAAUUAUACCACAUCCAAAUAUAACAGUGCUGCGGUGGUGAUUCAACCCAACAAAAGGCACGAAUGGCAGAUUGUAUUUGUUGGUUCUGUAUGUGCUAUCGAAAACAAUGACGUCUCCGAAAGCCUCGUAGUCAAGUCGCGAUUGACUAUCAGCCCAGAACAGUCCCUUCAGAUGGCCAUGCUCGUCUACCAAGUACUUGAAGAAAAAAAUCCACAUCUCGCUCUCGCCUCGCCAUCAUGUGCAUGA
rnacentral:rRNA from 1 species